rnacentral:lncRNA from 1 species
AUACUAUGCAUAUAUAAAAUGUAAGCAAAAACUAUCUCAACCUUAAAAUAUAAAACAAAACCUUCCAAGCAAACUAAUUUUAUACUUGAAAGUUGAAAGAAACACUGCUGGAGGAAUUGGUACCCUACCACUUGAUAGGGUGCAAGUCAGUUUUUUCAGGUUAGAAUGCUCCUCAUAAAACCUGCAAGACAAUGUUUGCCACCUGAAGACAUUUCAGUUUUGCUUCCUUUUGUGGAAUGAAGAGAGACAGCUCAAUCAAAUAAUGAAAAACUUAGCGUCUCCUUCUCAUGUAAGCAGGGUUAUCUCAGAAUGUAUGGAAUGUCAAGGAAUUAGAAUCCUACCUAGCUCAGUAGUUCUGCUCUCUUCUUCUGUCAUAAUUGCAGCGUGCACAGGGCCGGUCAAUUAGUGUCUAGCCCAGUGAGGUCAUGUUCCUGAAAGCUUAGUUUUCCUGCUAACAUUGGGAAUAAGUAGGGCAUUUUAAAGGGGGCCUCAAAAAUAUUAUUUCUAGAAGUUAUCUUAGUAUUUGUAAAGCUAUGCAUUUUGAUCACUGUUUGUAACCAUGCCAUUUCGGAGCGCCCAGAUGAAGGCUGUCGUAACAGUAAAGCACUUUCCCAUUACGACACGUAGUUAUUUUGCAACCAUGACAAAUGUUUGCAAUAAAAGGGAACACGAACGCUAUGUGCCAGACACAGUGGUAUGUGCUUUAAAGGCACCGAAUCUCACAUCUCCAGAGAUGUCAAAUUACCAUCUCGGACUUAACCAACACAUGCGAAAGUAA